rnacentral:rRNA from 1 species
UCUGGAAACUNUCUGACUUGAGUGCAGAAGGGGAGAGUGGAAUUCCAUGUGUAGCGGUGAAAUGCGUAGAUAUAUGGAGGAACACCAGUGGCGAAAGCGGCUCUCUGGUCUGUCACUGACGCUGAGGCUCGAAAGCGUGGGUAGCGAACAGGAUUAGAUACCCUGGUAGUCCACGCCGUAAACGAUGAGUGCUAGGUGUUAGGCCCUUUCCGGGGCUUAGUGCCGGAGCUAACGCAAUAAGCACUCCGCCUGGGGAGUACGACCGCAAGGUUGAAACUCAAAGGAAUUGACGGGGGCCCGCACAAGCGGUGGAGCAUGUGGUUUAAUUCGAAGCAACGCGAAGAACCUUACCAGGUCUUGACAUCCCGAUGCUAUUCUUAGGGAUAGGAAGUUACUUCGGUACAUCGGAGACAGGUGGUGCAUGGUUGUCGUCAGCUCGUGUCGUGAGAUGUUGGGUUAAGUCCCGCAACGAGCGCAACCCUUAUUGUUAGUUGCCAUCAUUAAGUUGGGCACUCUAGCGAGACUGCCGGUAAUAAACCGGAGGAAGGUGGGGAUGACGUCAAAUCAUCAUGCCCCUUAUGACCUGGGCUACACACGUGCUACAAUGGUCGGUACAACGAGUUGCGAGCCGGUGACGGCAAGCUAAUCUCUGAAAGCCGAUCUCAGUUCGGAUUGGAGGCUGCAACUCGCCUCCAUGAAGUCGGAAUCGCUAGUAAUCGCGGAUCAGCACGCCGCGGUGAAUACGUUCCCGGGCCUUGUACACACCGCCCGUCACACCACGAGAGUUUGUAACACCCGAAGUCGGUGAGGUUACCUUUUAGGGGCUAGCCGCCUAAGG